CCUACGGGAGGCAGCAGUGAGGAAUAUUGGUCAAUGGACGCAAGUCUGAACCAGCCAUGCCGCGUGCAGGAAGACGGCUCUAUGAGUUGUAAACUGCUUUUGUAUGAGGGUAAACGCAGAUACGUGUAUCUUUCUGUAAGUAUCGUACGAAUAAGGAUCGGCUAACUCCGUGCCAGCAGCCGCGGUAAUACGGAGGAUUCAAGCGUUAUCCGGAUUUAUUGGGUUUAAAGGGUGCGUAGGCGGUCGGGUAAGUUAGAGGUGAAAUCCUGAGGCUCAACUUUGGAAUUGCAUCUGAUACUGUUCGGCUAGAGAGUAGUUGCGGUAGGCGGAAUGUAUGGUGUAGCGGUGAAAUGCUUAGAGAUCAUGCAGAACACCGAUUGCGAAGGCAGCUUACCAGGCUACAUCUGACGUUGAGGCACGAAAGCGUGGGGAGCAAACAGGAUUAGAUACCCUGGUAGUC
rnacentral:rRNA from 1 species